CUUUUAUUGUUUAAUAUAUAAAUUGUAAAUACACCCUAUAUUAUUCCCAAAAGAAUAAUAUUUACAACACAAAUGCACCUUUUGUAAGUUCAACGGGGAAAGACAUAAUUGCAUCUCUCAUCCCCAAAGUUUGUUUAAAGUUUGGCCAUACAAUUUUUAACUAAAGACUGACUGAAAACCCCAGACGCAGGCUAAUAUGUUUUAGGUAUAUGUCAUUCUCAGAAUCACUUCAACUUACACAACAUUAAACUUCUGUUUAAGUUGUAACAUUACCAAGACAAAUCAAUGCAAUGCAUAAACAAGCACAACUAUCCCAAAAUUCUUGCAGAAAUAUGGGCUGGCAAAAACUCAAGAUGGCUGGCUUUCCGAAACGGCUGGAACCGGUUGUCUGGUAACUGCAGCCAAGAUAUCAGCAUAACCUACGACACCAACUAAUAUGUCAUCGUUUUCAGCCUCUGUAACCCAAACAUGUGUUGCCCGGUGAGAUAAUAUUUGAGCCAUUACUGCAGCCAGCGAACUAGUAACUUUACACGUUAAUGGUGCACUUCUACCCCGAUACAUGCUCCUACCAACCCCAAAACUUGAAUUUGCGGCAUUGCUAAAGAACCCAAUACUUCUGCUGCUGAAUUUUUUUUGCCUGGCUGGGAUUCCUCCAUUACCUAAAUUCGAUUCCCCGACCAUUUGAUUAAGCGCAAUAUCAGGAAGUGAUCUUGAUGUCAGGUUAUCUUCAACCCCCAUAACAAACUGUCCAGCAGAGAGAUUAGCAAGUGCCCAUGAUGCAGCUAAGUAAUCACAUUUCCAUAGUUUAGAGGCAGAUAUUUCACCGAUGAUGUUAUAUUGACCAUCUGACGUUGGCUCCACAACAGCAACUGCACAUGGAUCAUGGGGACGAUUUUUGGUGGCAUCAAUGGCUGGGAAAGAUGCUUCAAUAGAGCAGUAGUUUGGAUUGAUGAUUCCAAGGGAAGCAAUUGAGGAAAGUGGUAAAGGAGCCAAGGCACCAAGGCAACCAAUGAUGAAACGUAGAACAUCUUCUCUUGACAGACAACAAAACUUGUCCUGAAUGAUGUCGGUGGAAGAUGAUGACGAUGGAAGGUUAGUGUUGGCAAUAGGGUUUGUGUUAUUGCCACUAGAAGUCUCGAUGUUCUUGAGCCAUUUUCCAUUGUAUAGAACUGAGAAGCGCUUGCUCAUGCCUCUCCAGACUAUGCUUUUGGGAAUAAGGAGUCGCUUCACACCUUGCUUCAUCAUCUCCAGAGCAUCUAUCAAUCUUAUACAAGAAACAAAUAUCAGAAUUAUAAGUACUAUUAAGGAACACUAAAGCGAGAAUGUAACAAAUGCUAAUUGGGUCCCACAUAAGCUUUAACACAUGGAACAACAAAG
rnacentral:lncRNA from 1 species